GUUCACAUUCGAGGUGCCGCCAUCUUGGUGCACUCGUUUCGGCCUCCAUGAGCGAGAACCAAUCAGAAUUGGAUUUUUUUUAGGCCUCUUCAGCCCUCUGCUGGUCAGCUGAUAAUCGAGUUGUCUUAAGGUUUAUCUACAGCUGCGUGAAGUAAGAAUUUCUCCGCGCAGGGGGGGCCACCGCUGUGUUUUGAUUUUUGGUCCACGCUAUUAGAGUCCGUACCGCUCCACGUGAGUCCUUGAGCUUUUAUGAAAGUUAAAGGAAUUUCUAUUAGAAUCGAAGUAUUAUAAGUUCUAGCUAUAACAUCCUCUUUCUAUAGGCACUAAAACAAAUGAGAAAAGUAAUUUCUGAAGCUCUGGAAUUUGAUCCCAGAAAAAAGUAGGGUUAGGCAUGAUGACCUUGAUGCAACCAAUCGCGAUUGAUCGCUCUCUGCAGUUGCAGAUAUCUCUCUCCCACCAUGAGCUGUCUCUCUCGUACUCAUUGGAGUCCCCUAAGGAAAACGGGGAUCAAAUUCCAGCCUUUAAUAUGCAACUUUGAAAGCUCAUCUUUGACUUUACACAUUCUUCAGACAUGCUGCUAGAACUUAGGAGCUUCAGAAUUUAGAAUCUGUUUCUUCAUUUUAAAUAAUCACUGAUUUCGGAGUCGGAUUUUAGCAGCGCGACGUGGUGGAUUUUUUCGGAACUACAGCUGAAGAUUAACCUUAACUCUGUGUUAUAAAGGGACUCUAGUCUCUGAGUAAGAAAUUUCUCCGCGCAGGGGGCGCCACCGCUGUGUUUUGAUUUUUUGGUCCACGCUAUUAGAGUCCGUAGCUCCACGUGAGUCUUUGAGCUUUAUGAAAGUUAAAGGAAUUACUCAAAUUACUGUUCAAAUCGAGGAGUCAUAAGUUCUAGCCAUAACAUUCUUCUUCCUCCUUAUUCUUCCACCGUCCAUGUAUCCUGUGAAGCUGUUUUUCACUUUUGUUUUGUUUAAAACUAGCGAAUGACUCUUUGGGCUAGCAAAAAAGAGAAAUUCAUUUUGUUCAACAAUCUUGCGUGCCUGUUAAAAGCUGUCGAGAACAAGUACACAACUGUAGAUCUCCGGAAUGAGGCAUACGUUUGCGGUAAAAUUCAGGAAGUUGACGGGAUGAUGAAUUUAUCAAUGUCUGAUGUGCUUUUUUCUGAUCCUUCUGGAAAAUGUUUCAACUUUGAUAAGUUUUUUUUCAAGCAAAGAAUAUCCGUCACGUUCACCUACCGAGAGAGGUUUGUUUUGCUUAUUGCUUUGUUACCACAUCAAAUGAAUAAUCAUCCUAAUUCUCUAUCAUUAGUCCG
rnacentral:lncRNA from 1 species